UACGUAGGGGGCAAGCGUUGUCCGGAUUUAUUGGGCGUAAAGAGCUCGUAGGCGGCCUGUUGCGUCCGCUGUGAAAUCCCAGGGCUUAACCCUGGGCGUGCAGUGGAUACGGGCAGGCUGGAGGCAGGCAGGGGAGAACGGAAUUCCCGGUGUAGCGGUGAAAUGCGCAGAUAUCAGGAGGAACACCGAUGGCGAAGGCAGGUCUCUGGGCAUUAACUGACGCUGAGGAGCGAAAGCAUGGGGAGCGAACAGG
rnacentral:rRNA from 1 species